GCAUGCGCACACAGCAACCGGAAGUGUCGAAAGGCGAAAGGAUAAGGCAUCAAAUUCCUCAAAAAUAUAAAAAUGCCGUUCGGUUUUACCUCCAAACAUUUAGCCAAGAGGGCGGUACGAAACUGGUCAGGUUCAAUAGCAGGCUAUGGCUUUGCAACCACACUAUUUAUCGUAUGGUUGUCAGAUUGGAAAGUCAUCUGGGAGAAGGUUCCAUAUUAUAACAAGAAAUUUGAAGAGAGCUCUGCUAGUUAGUUAUGACUGUAGUAUUAUAGUGACAAGGGUUGACUUUUUACAGUGGUUGUUUUAGAAGCACUAACACUUAGGAUAGAAGAAAUGUUUCACCAGACUGAUUUUUGGCCAUUCAACCCAACUAGCCAUACAGUUCAACAAGGAUGUAAAUGGGACUUCAAAUCUACUUUUGUUUGUGAAAAUAACUUCAAAUACAUCUACUUGUACAGAGGAUAGAGCAUCAUUGCUGGUUUCAGGUUGAAAUAAUAAUAGUAAUAUUAACUUGGGAGGAUAGUACAAACUUGCCAAGAUUUUGGUUGACAGUAACAGUUGCCAGAUGAUCAGACAUUAAUCUGGAGUAAAAAGUCUGAUAGUUAUGUUGUGUUUCAGUGAAUAAAUAAAAUUGAAAAAAAAAAACAAACAAACA